rnacentral:rRNA from 1 species
UUGGAGGGCAAGUCUGGUGCCAGCAGCCGCGGUAAUUCCAGCUCCAAUAGCGUAUAUUAAAGUUGUUGCAGUUAAAAAGCUCGUAGUUGAAUUUCGGGAUCAAGGGAUCGGUCAUGCCUUGGUAUGCACUGGUCUUAUUGGUUCUCACCUUCUAAAGAACCAUGAUGUCAUUCAUUUGAUGUUAUGGGGAAUUAGGACUGUUACCUUGAAAAAAUUAGAGUGUUUAAAGCAAGCUUACGCUUGAAUACAUUAGCAUGGAAUAAUGAAAUAGGACAUCAGAUUCUAUUUUGUUGGUUUCUAGGAUCGAUGUAAUGAUUAAUAGGGAUAGUUGGGGGCAUUAGUAUUCAAUUGUCAGAGGUGAAAUUCUUGGAUUUAUUGAAGACUAACUACUGCGAAAGCAUUUGCCAAGGAUGUUUUCAUUAAUCAAGAACGAAAGUUAAGGGAUCGAAGACGAUCAGAUACCGUCGUAGUCUUAACCAUAAACUAUGCCGACUAGGAAUCAGGCGAUGUUAAUUUUUUAAUGACUCGUUUGGCACCUUACGGGAAACCAAAGUGUUUGGGUUC